rnacentral:rRNA from 1 species
AACGAACGCUGGCGGCAUGCCGAACACAUGCAAGUCGAACGAGACCUUCGGGUCUAGUGGCGCACGGGUGCGUAACGCGUGGGAACCUGCCCUUAGGUUCGGAAUAACUCCCCGAAAGGGGUGCUAAUACCGGAUAAUGUCUUCGGACCAAAGAUUUAUCGCCUUUGGAUGGGCCCGCGUUGGAUUAGCUAGUUGGUAGGGUAAAAGCCUACCAAGGCGACGAUCCAUAGCUGGUCUGAGAGGAUGAUCAGCCACACUGGGACUGAGACACGGCCGAGACUCCUACGGGAGGCAGCAGUGGGGAAUAUUGGACAAUGGGCGAAAGCCUGAUCCAGCAAGGCCGCGUGAGUGAUGAAGGCCUGAGGGUUGUAAAGCUCUUUUACCCGGGAUGAUAAUGACAGUACCGGGAGAAUAAGCCCCGGCUAACUCCGUG